GACGAACGCUGGCGGCGUGCUUAAUACAUGCAAGUCGAACGGAAAGGCGCUGCUUUUGUUCGUUUCUCGUGAGCGGAACGGGGGAGUAUAACGUGUGUAACCUGCCCCUAUCUUUCGGAUAACUUCUGGAGACUGGGGCUCUUAUCGGGUAGGAUCUCCUGCACCGUAUUGGGGAUUGGAAAGUUUCGGCGGUUGUGGAUGUACUCGCUGGUUAUCCGCUAGUUGGUGGGGUAGUGGCUUACCAAGGCUUUGACGGGUAGCCGGCCUGAGAGGGUGACCGGCCAACUUGGGACUGAGAUACGGGCCAGACUCCUACGGGAGGCAGCAGUGGGGAAUAUUGCACAAUGGGCGGAAGCCUGAUGCAGCAACGCCGCGUGCGGGAUGACGGCCGUCGAGUUGUAAACCGCUUUCGCCUGUGACGAAGCGUGAGUGACGGUAAUGGGUAAAGAAGCACCGGCUAACUACGUG
rnacentral:rRNA from 1 species